rnacentral:rRNA from 1 species
GUUGAACGCUAGCGGGAUGCUUUACACAUGCAAGUCGAACGAGUAGCGGACGGGUGGGUAAUAUAUCGGAACGUGCCCAGUAGCGGGGGAUAACUACUAGAAAGAGUGGCUAAUACCGCAUACUAUUCGAGCGGGCGAUGUUGGAUUAGCUAGUUGGUGGGGUAAAGGCUCACCAAGGCAACGAUGCGUAGCAGGUUUGAGAGGACGACCAGCCACACUGGGACUGAGACACGGCCCAGACUCCUACGGGAGGCAGCAGUGGGGAAUUUUGGACAAUGGGCGAAACCCUGAUCCAGCCAUCCCGCGUGUAUGAGAAGGCCUUCGGGUUGUAAAGUACUGUUGGCAGAGAAGCGGUAUCUGCAGAAUAAGCACCGGCUAACUACGUGCCAGCCGCCGCGGUAAUAC